UACGUAGGGUGCGAGCGUUGUCCGGAAUUAUUGGGCGUAAAGAGCUUGUAGGCGGUCUGUCGCGUCUGCUGUGAAAAUCCGGGGCUCAACCCCGGACUUGCAGUGGGGUACGGGCAGACUAGAGUGUGGUAGGGGGAGACUGGAAUUCCUGGUGUAGCGGUGAAAUGCGCAGAUAUCAGGAGGAACACCGAUGGCGAAGGCAGGUCUCUGGGCCACUACUGACGCU
rnacentral:rRNA from 1 species